rnacentral:lncRNA from 1 species
AGAGGAGAAAAGAUAGAAAUAUCCAAUAAUUAGUGGUGAGGGGAAAGAGAGGAGAAAAGAUAGAACUAUCCAAAAAUUAGUUGUGAGGGGAAAGAAAGGAGAAAAGAUAGAAAUUCCAAAAUGGACAGAAAUAUCCAAAAAUUAGUUGUGAGGGGAAAGAAAGGAGAAAAGAUAGAAAUUCCAAAAUGGACAGAUUAGGAGAGAGAGAGAAGUGGAGAGGUGCCGGGCACCUGGGGAGCAGCAAACCUGUGAGACAAAAUCAGACAUGGGCAAAACACAUUAGUUUUAAAUUUCAUAUGUGUGUGUGUGUGUGUGUGUGUGUGUGUGUGUGUGUGUGUGUGUGUGUGUGUGUGUGUGUGAAAAAAAAUUGAACCGAAAGCUCUUGUGCUUUUAAUUACUGAUUCAAAAUACUGAUUUUCAUGACACAAUAUCUUGACAGAUGGGAAAACGUAAGGGGGGGGGGGGGGGGUACUAACUUGUUAAGUUAGUACAUGAUGAGGGGUCUAUAACGUGUUGAAUAAAGGCACACUAUGUUAAUCAUGAAAAUGUCAUUCCUGUGUGAACUUACGUCGAGUCACCACAAAGCGGUCUGCACUUGGAGACAGGAUAGAGUUGGCAAGAAGGAAAAUGGAAAAACAGAGACAAGAGAUUCUUAGUUUAGUUGUACAAAACCAGCACAUCUCACUGCAUUGUAGUUCCAACUGUAAUCAGCCAGCAAAAUUAUUUCCAUUUGGUUCUGCAUUAGUUUAAAUAAAGUGUUAUUUAAAAUGGUUUGUGUUACAAUGAGUAUGUGCUGCAGUUUGUCAAAUAAGGACAUAAUGUUGGGUUUUCACAUGAUGUGUUGUAAAAAGUAACUGUAAAUAUUUUUGAGUUACUUUAUUUGUGAACUUACAGCUGAGUCGCUAACGUUGAACUGGGCCCGCAGUAGAGGUAGAUUUGAGGAGUUCAGAAGGAGGGAAAAGACAGAGGGACAAAAAAUAAAUAAAUUUAGUUGCAAAAAAAAUCAGUAACUCAUAGUUUACUGUAAUCACACCGCUUUUCAGUGUGGAUCAUUAGUUUUCUCAUUUCUUAUCAAAGUCUACAAUCGGUAGCCCUUGAUUAGUAAAAGGAUGUUACUGCAGCUCCCUUGGCCUGUAAAAAAUGUUUAAGAUGGAGAGAAAAUGCACGAAGGCUCUCUUUACUUUGUUAUGUAUGUUAUUGAGGUGAAAUACAAAACAGUGAAAUGUCAUUAUAAACUGCAUAGCAAAAAUGCAACACUUAAUUGAUUGCUUAAUAAGUAUACAAGUGUGAACUUACACUUCAGAGUUGAUAGGGCAGGAGGUCAAAGGACAAGAUGAGUCAGGAGGAGGGGGAGAAGGAGGAAAAAAGAUUUUUAACACACUCAAAAGAACCUCCUUCACAGCUCACUUCAUUUAAAGAAAUUUUUCCUGAAUGAUUUUCCCACUUUAUUAUUGUCAAAAUCAAGAUUCAGCAUUUCCCAGCAAAUUAAAAUGUUUACAAAAAAUAAUUUAGUACUGUUGUAAUAUUGUAAGCACAUUAUUUUCUACUAGGAAAAAACUGUAUCCCAUCUAUGAUUUUCAUGUAGGAUAUACAACAGUGUUACAGAAAAAUAAACAUUUCAUAUCAAUUUAAACUCAGUAUUUGAAAAAUGAAUCAUAUGUUGUACAUUAUCUAGAAUAUCACGUUGUUUAACAGGAUUAAGCUCAAUCAUUAAUCGAGUUAUUCUUAUUUUGUUUGUUGUCAGUCUUGCUUAAAACACUUAUACUUACCAACAAGUGCACUGGAGUGGAUGUAUCUUCUGUUUGUUUGAGAUAAGAAACAAUACAUUAGUGUUUUCUGACAGAUAGCACACUAAAAACAACUGGCCUGUAAAGAAAACUAACAUUAUUACAGUACUUGGGCUAAUUGAAAACUAAACAGCUCCAACAGAUCACUUGGCUGUUAGCUGUAGCUGAAAAUGUCCUAUAAUAUAUACUGUAUUAAAGUAUUUAUACCUCAGAUAAAAUAUCUUUGCUGUGGUGUUAGCACAUCACCAAUAUCCAAAUUAACAGCUUGUGAUCAAAGGUAAAUUAGGUACAGUAUAAUGUGAGGUACAGCAGCAGCCAGUGAGACAGAGACAGCCCAGGAGUCGGUUCACCAACUUUAAGGCAGCUAACUAUCCACCCAUUAACUCAAUAUUAAGAUAAGAAGAACUUAAUUGAUCCCUAAAGUGAAAUUCAGUAAGAACUUGUAUUAGUUAGAACUUCAUAUUGUAGAACAUUAACUAUUGAAUUAAUUUUAUGGUCUGCAAUGUAAAUAUCUCUAUCAACCCCAUCAUGAAUAACACCUUCAAUAAUAGAGGACCAUCUAGUGUCAUUCUGACACAUAAAAAAAGAAAAACCACUCACAUUUGUGUUAUAACUGGAUGCUUGCUAAAUGCAGCCUAUAUUUUAAUACAUCUACAAUGGCUGAUAAAAAGUGACCAGGAGCUAAAAAGUGACCAGGAGCUAAACAGCUGACGUCUCCAGACCAAUUCCCCAGCUAUGACUCAGUCACAGUGAUGAACUGUCUGCCUACUACCUGUAGCAACAGCGCUAGCUUCAUUAGUAAGUUAAUACUUGACAAUAUUAGUAUCCCCGUCAGUCCAAAUGUCAGUAAACUCUACAAACUGCACAUCACAUUAUUUUGUGCAUUUCUCAGCUGGCUAAUGAUUCAGCCCCAUAAAUGACGGAAUGUUAGCUUUAGCGUUAGCUCGACGCUAACUCCGCUAGCUUGACGCUAACUCCGCUAGCUCGGUGCUAACUCCGCUAGCUCGACGCUAACACUGUUAGCGUAAGCUUUUUCAAGUCAACAUCUCGACCACUUCAAUCAUGAAUGAACUCUUCAUCGAUUAUAACUCAAACCAGUGCCAUUUUGACAAGUUAAAUCCCAUUUUUUAACGUUUAGACGUUGACAGAGACUCAGCUCUGACUCACCCUUCUGUAAGAUGCAGCAGGAUAGCGCGAGCCAAGGCGGAGUCCCGGUAGAAAUGUUUGAGGCGUUCAGGGACACUCGGAAAUUUCACACUUCACUCGACAAGGUGGUUAACACAGUGGUUAACUUAAUCCACACAUUGUGGGAAAUAGAAAUUCAUUAAAAAAAUUAACAGCUAAAAAAUUAUUGUCAUACCAGCAUAAUGAAUGUGAAAAUGACAGCAAAAAUACAACUGAUAGGACCUAAAAAAAAACCCUAGGAGGAUUUGAGUAAGAAGUUGUAGAAGUUUUAGUGGUAGUAGUAGUAAAAUGAAUAGUGGCAGAAGUGAUAGUAGUAGUCAUAUUAGAGGUAGUACUUGUCAUAGUACUUAUAGUGGGUUUAGAAUAGAAGGAGAUGUGGGAGGGAUAAAAAACUGGGGAAAAGGAUAAAGUGGAGAUCUCUGUCAAAUUGUACUGACAUGUUGCUGUCUGUGUAAUUACUUCAAAUAAAGAAAUUUAUGUUUAAAGAAAAAGAAUUGAAGGAGAUGUAGAGGGAUACAAGUUGCAGUUGUAGAGCUAGUCAUAGUAGUAGUAGUUGAAGUGGUGGUAGUAGUAGUGGAAGUGGUAGCUGUCGUCGAAUAAGUGGUCGUAGUAGUUUUAGAAGUGGUAGAAGUACUGGUGGUAUAAAUGGUAGUAGUAUAUGUAGUAAAAGUGGAGUACUACUAAAAGAGAUGUUACAAUUAGAAGUGGUGUGUGUGUGCGAGUAGCUCUUAUAGACACAAAGACAGUACUGCACACACAUGAUCAAAGUUAAACUUCAGUGGCAGUAUGAAUCACCAAUAUGCUGUGCACUGAGCCUGGCUUCAUGUGCCUCAAAUGGCCGUUAGAAGCAGCCUUCCAGUCAGCUGUGUGUCUCCAGGUGCACUAAUUGGUUGCUAUGGGGACCGUAGAUGCAGGAGAAAGGAGCCUUGAAGCUGAGAAACAAAAUCCCAGACUAUGCUCAUCCUCUGUAACAGCUAUAUUCAUGAUAAGGAGCUUGUGAGAACACAAGACUCUGCUGAACACAUUACAGUUUUUCUCAGUCGCUUUGGUACAUUUCUCAGAUCAGAAUUGAAAUUCUCAAAACUACGUGUUCAAUUUUCACAUCAUUGUGCCACUUGUGCACAUCAAAAAAGCAGUUUCUCAUUUCUUUGAACAACUUGCAAAUGCUUUGGUACAUCCAUGCAAAUGAUUAUGUACAAUUUUCUGCUGUUUUCUACAUUAUCAAUUGCUUAUGUCAUGUUGAUCAAAAUGUAUUAUAAUGGGUCUCUGUUGAAUAGUCUCACCUCCCUCAACAUUUAGGCAUUAGUUCAUUGUAUAAGUCUUUACAUGCAAAAUGGUUGAACAAGCUGUCAUAAUAUGUCAAGCAUAUUUCUAUACAUUUCCAUCAGACGUUUCUGAAUCUGUCCCGAAUUGGUAAAUUGCUCCCAGGUGAAUCUUGACUUUCUCUAACGGUGGGAAAUGUGUGAAGCAUUAGAUCAACCAAUGAUCAACCACUUUUCUGAAAUAGCUCAAAGGUGCAUCUCAUGAACCAUCAACUGGCAAGUAUAUAUAUUGCCGGAGCACAACACAAUGUUACAAUGUCUGACAAUGGAAGGACAAGGAAUUGGACGGGGUCAACAGCCAGAGAGAAGAAGAGGAAGAGGAGUGAGGCUGCGUGGCGGAGGAGUUGGG